AUGGUGACCCUGGGCUGCCUUGCACGUGACUUCCUGCCGAGCACCGUCACCUUCUCCUGGAACUUUAAGAACACCACUGGCAUCAAUGCCCAGAACUUGAAGACAUACCCAUCCGUCCUGCGACAGGGAAAGUAUGUGGCCAGCUCUCAGGUGUUCCUUCCCUCUGAAGAAGUCUUCCAGGGCGCCGAUGAGUAUCUGUUGUGCAGAGUCAAGCAUUCCAAUGGCAACAAGGAACUGACUGUGCCCCUUCCAGUGAAAGCCGAAGAGCAGGUCCCCACUGUGAAUGUCUACAUCCCACCCCGAGAUGCCUUCUCUGGUUCCAGCCAGCGUACCUCCAAGCUCAUCUGCCAGGCCACAGGCUUCAGUCCCAAGCAGAUCUCUCUGACCUGGCUGCAAGAUGGGAAAGUGGUGCAGUCGGGCGUCAACACGGGUGAAGUUGAGCCUGAGCCCAGCUGGUCUCAGUCACGGACCUUCCAGAUCUCCAGCAUUCUGACCAUCAGUGAGAGCGAAUGGCUCAGCCAGAGCGUGUUCACCUGCUACGUGAAGCACAGUGGCCUGGAUAUAUUGAAGAACGUGUCCUCUAUGUGUGGAGUCAAGGGGGAAGUCAACGCCGAGGAGGAGGGCUUCGAGAACUUGUGGGCCAUGGCCUCCACCUUUAUUGUGCUUUUCCUCCUGAGCCUUUUCUACAGCACCACAGUCACCCUGUUCAAGGUGAAGUGA